rnacentral:rRNA from 1 species
UACGGAGGAGGCAAGCGUUAUCCGGCAUUAUAGGGCGUAAAGCGUCCGUAGGUGGUUGGCCAAGUCUGCUGUCAAAGGGUGGGGCUUAACCUCAUAAAGGCAGUGGAAACUGGCGAGCUAGAGUGCGGUAGGGGUAGGGGGAAUUCCCAGUGUAGCGGUGAAAUGCGUAGAGAUUGGGAAGAACAUCGGUGGCGAAAGCGCCCUGCUGGGCCUGCACUGACACUGAGGGACGAAAGCUAGGGGAGCGAAUGGG